AGAAACUUAAAAAAAAAAAAAUCAAAUAGCCUACUUUUUAAACAACUUAGGAUUUCAUAAAAUUAAGGCAAAAUUACUAUUUAAUCCCUAAAUUUUAAAGAAAUUAACUAUUAGUCCCUUUAUUUUGAAAAAUACAAUAUUUAGUCCCCCUAUUGUUAUUCUUAAAUUGUUUAGUCCCUCCCGUUAACUUUUCUGUUAGUGAAAUUACUUUAAAGAAAAUUUUUUUUCCUUACUUAACUAUUCAGUCCCUAUAAUUUAAAUAAUAUAACUAUUUAAUCCUUGUAAUUUUAAAUCAAUCAACUAUUCAGUCCAUCUAAUUUGAAUAAUACAACUAUUGUCUCUCCUUUUACUAACUUGACUAACAGAAAAGUUAAUAUGAGAGACGAAAUAGUUUAUUGACUAAAAAUAUGUUGACUAAAUCGUAUAUUUUUCAAAA
rnacentral:misc_RNA from 1 species